GAUGAACGCUGGCGGCGUGCCUAAUACAUGCAAGUCGAGCGAACGGACGAGAAGCUUGCUUUUCUGAUGUUAGCGGCGGACGGGUGAGUAACACGUGGAUAACCUACCUAUAAGACUGGGAUAACUUCGGGAAACCGGAGCUAAUACCGGAUAAUAUUUUGAACCGCAUGGUUCAAAAGUGAAAGACGGUCUUGCUGUCACUUAUCGAUGGAUCCGCGCUGCAUUAGCUAGUUGGUAAGGUAACGGCUUACCAAGGCAACGAUGCAUAGCCGACCUGAGAGGGUGGUCGGCCACACUGGAGCUGAGACACGGUCCAGACUCCUACGGGAGGCAGCAGUAGGGAAUCUUCCGCAAUAGGCGAAAGCCUGACGGAGCAACGCCGCGUGAGUGAUGAAGGUCUUCGGAUCGUAAAACUCUGUUAUUAGGGAAGAACAUAUGUGUAAGUAACUGUGCACAUCUUGACGGUACCUAAUCAGAAAGCCACGGCUAACUACGUG
rnacentral:rRNA from 1 species